CCCCAAAACUAAAACCUGCCGGGAACUACAAACCACUGUUUAAAACUCAAAGACCUUGGCGGUGUCUUAUACGCUCAGGGAAACCUGUCCCUUAAUUCGAUAAUCCACGAAUGUGCGAACCACCCUUGAAAUAUCAGCCUGUGUACUGCCGUCAUAAGUAUGCCUCCGAGAGUAAGCAUGCAGAAAUAAUAAUAUCUAAGUCAGGUCAAAGUGCAGCCAAUGGGUGGUUGGAGAUGGGUUACACCCCUAAAACGGUUACCAAAAUUCACUCUUGAAAAACGAAUCAAAAGCUGGACUUGAAAGUAAUGAUACUUACUAAGCUAUCAUGAAAUGGAAUCUAAGGCAUGUACAUAUCGCCCGUCACUCUCACCGAAAGGCG
rnacentral:rRNA from 1 species